rnacentral:lncRNA from 1 species
AGGAGGAGGCGGAGGAGGCGGAGGUGGAAGAGGAAGCCGGCGUGGACGAGGCGGAGGAGAGAGAGGCGGGCCGCGGGCGCAGGCUGUCCGGCGGAGGCUCAGCGCGCUCCGGGGGCGGGGGCGGCGGCGGCGGCUGAAGAGGCUGCGGCGCGCUCAGGAGACCCGCGGCGCCGCUGCCCUUGAGCGGGCCUGCGCCUCCGUGAGGGAAGAGUUGCUGCCAGUGCUGCAUGGGCUGCUGCGCUUGGCCGCUGCCGCGUCCUGGCUCCUUGGUUCCACGCUCUGGCAGCUUCCCGGCUGGACACGUGGGUUUUACGACAGCACAAAAUAGGUUUUCUGAACCUGGGAAACGUGCUGUUCAGACUUCAUCCGGGUCUCAUUCAGGAUGCUUCGAUGUUGGUUGGAAGAGAGUUAGACCGAAAAUGUUUUGACUGGCGUCGUUAUGACAAGGUCAUCCGUCAUUGUUGGAUAGAUUGAUAGCACCCAAGUUUAAGGCAGACACCACGAGGGAAAGCCCACGGCGCUGUGGUCCCGGAGGCUAACCAGGCAGUGUCCGCAGACCUCCAGCAACUCCAUCGGGAGGAGAGGAUGAAGUUCCAGGCCCGUUUCAAUUAAUCUGCUCGCAGAACUGCCGAAGAGUGGCUUGUCGGGCCACGGGAGAAGAAACAAAUGCUCUUUCUCACACUCUCCUGGUUCAUUGCUGAGAAACCAGGACACUCCUCUGUUCCCUGGGAGAGACAGUGAACUCCAGGGAUGGAAGUCCGGACUCCGGCGGCGGUCCCGUCAUUUGCCUUCUUGUUUCUGCCCAAACCCAGCUAGUUCCAAGCGCUUGGUCCCCAAGACUGGAAGUCCCCAAGAACCUACCUCUACCUGUCCCAACCCUGCCUCCCCCCUACCCUUUCACCCCCUGCCACCAUUAGAAAGUCUCUGGAUUUUGAAAUGCUAGUUGCAGCAGCUGCUUCCGUGGCCUCAUGCCGCCCACACUCUGGGAAGCGGAGGAGGGAGGGUUCCUCUCGUAAUAAG